NNNNNNNNNNNNNNNNNNNNNNNNNNNNNNNNNNNNNNNNNNNNNNNNNNNNNNNNNNNNNNNNNNNNNNNNNNNNNNNNNNNNNNNNNNNNNNNNNNNNNNNNNNNNNNNNNNNNNNNNNNNNNNNNNNNNNNNNNNNNNNNNNNNNNNNNNNNNNNNNNNNNNNNNNNNNNNNNNNNNNNNNNNNNNNNNNNNNNNNNNNNNNNNNNNNNNNNNNNNNNNNNNNNNNNNNNNNNNNNNNNNNNNNNNNNNNNNNNNNNNNNNNNNNNNNNNNNNNNNNNNNNNNNNNNNUAUAUAUAUAUAUAUAUAUAUAUAUAUAUAUAUAUAUAUAUAUAUAUAGAUAGAUAGAUAGAUAGAGAGAGAUUUAAAAUAAAACUUUUUUAAAAUAAAAUUAUAUAUUAAUAAAAUUCGUAUUAAUUUUUUAUUUUAAAAUUUAAAAAAAAACACUAAUAAAUUUCUUAAACUAUUAUUUUUUCAAUUAAGUCCCUGAAUAAUAUAAAGUUAAUUAAUAAUUUCUAUAUAUUAAUGUUAUUAAUUUAAUCGUGAAUUUAAAUUAAAAAAUUAUCAUUUAAUUUUUUAUCACUUUAAUAGCGUGAAUUAAAUUUAUUAAAAAUCUAUAUUUUUAAACUAUAUAAUAAAGUAAUUACUUAUCAUAUUUAUAUAAUUUAAAAAAAUAUUAAAAACGAGUGUUAUUUUAAAAAUAUUCAUUAAAUAUAUUUAUUUUUAUUUGUGUAUAAACAAUAUUUGCAAUUUUUAUAUCCCUCUAUAUAAUUAAAAUAAUUACUUAUUAUACUAAUAUAAUUUAAAAUUUAUAUUAAUAGGCAAGUAUUAUUGUUUAAACUUAAUUUAAAAUUAUUCAUGAAAAAUAUUUAUUUUUAAUAAUGUAUAAAUAAUAGUUGCAAUUUUUUAUGACCAAACAAAAAUAGAUAGAUAUUAUAAUCAAAAUUAGACAUAAUUUUCUCAAAUAAAAUAAAACAUAGUUAUAUCAGUUUACAUGAAUUUUAUUUUUUAUUAAAAAAAUAUUUAUAAAAUUUUAAACAAAUAAUUAAUUAUACCAUAAAUAUAUUGUUAGAUCAAUGUGCAAGGCCAUUGAAUGAACAAUAUUUUGUUAAACUAAAAAUUGAUUAAAGAAAAGGAAAAAUAAGACUAAAAAAAUAGCAAUGAGAUUCAAACUGCUGAGAUCUAGGACAUUGAGAUAUUACUUGAUGGAUGGGAUAUUAGACAAUACACGUCAAAAUUAUGAGAAUUUAACAUGCCUCUCCUCUUUUAAAUCUGACAUCUCUUAUAUUUUUAUAUUUACAAAAUUGUCAUCUCCUAUUAUUUAUCAAUCAAAAAUUAUAUUUUUUAAAAAAUUUCACUUUUACUAAUAUGUAAAAAAACUAAAUUUCCAAUAGUUCAAAAGAAAUUUAUGGUGCGAUUAUUUUCGCAUUUUUUGAAAAACAAGUAUUUUUAUCAGUUUUUUAGAAAUUUCGGGUGAGGAAAUACCAACAAUUUUGAAAACUUCGGUAUCUAUCUGGAAAAAACCAAAAACAUACCGACAAUUUUCAAAAUUUUCGGUUAGCAACUAAAACUUCCGGAAAUUUCAAAUUUUCCGGUAUACCAAAUUUUUUAUCUAUAAUAAUAAUUUCGAUAGUGCAAAUAAUGCUUUACUUGUGUGGUCCAGAACCAACAAGGUCUUCUACAGAUUCCUGCACAUAUUUUACGCAGUUCUUCACCACUGAUGUUGGUACAAACUAUUAGCAUUGGUACAAACUAUUGGUAAACAACAUGGUAUUAUUGUUGUCAUUUAUCGUUCUGAUACUGAAAAAUGGAAAGUGGGGGAGAAAAGAUAAAUUGACUAUGAGUUGUGGGAGGGGAGGAAACUACAAAAGGAAGAAUGCAUCUAAAGUAAUAAUUCCUUGGAAGGCAUUUAUAAUAUGAAAGUUAAAUGUCCUUUUAGGCUGAGAUAUGUGUCAAGUGAUAGAGGUUGGAAGGUGAUGGUUAGGUGUGGGUUGCACAAUCAUAAACUAUCUAAGGAUUUAGAUGACCAUGACAUAUUGGGCCGUCUAAAAGAUCAUGAAAGACUGUUUACGAAUGACAUGACGAACUACAAUAUGGUUCCAAGGUACAUAGUUACUUCUUUGAAAGACAAAGAUCCAGAAAACCUCAUCAGUGUUACCCAGGUGUAUAAAGUUAGAACUAGAUACAAUACGAGCAAGAGAGUUCAUUGAAGGAAAUGCAAAUGUUGUUGAGUCUUAUUCAUAGAGAGAAAUACAUGUGUUGGGCUAGAAAUAAGGACGACUCAAAUAUUGUUGCUCUUUUGGACACAUCCUGAUUCAGUAAAGUUGUUGAAUAUGUUUCAUUUGGUGUUGAUUUGUUAUUGUACAUACAAGACAAAUAGUCAAUGGCCUCCACUCGUUAAAAAAUACAGAUUUUGAUUUAGCAUAUUUUUGAUUAUGUGUAUCAUGAUCAUACAGGUAUCGGCUACCACUACUUGAGAUUGUUGGUGUCACGUUCACAAAGUUAACGUUUUCGAUUAGCUUUGCCUAUUUGGAACAUGAAAGGGAGGAGAACUUCAAAUGGGCAUUGGAGAAGCUCAGAGAGUUAUUUUCUUCCGAGAAUUUAAUAUCGAAGGUUGUGGUGACAGACCGGGAACUUGCAUUAGUGAAUGUCAUGGAAGUUGUGUUCCCAAACUCAACUCAUAUGUUGUGUUCAUUCCAUAUUUCAAAAAAUGUUAGUAUGAAAUGUAAAGAGUAUGUUAAAUAAAAAAUAGGAAUAUGUCAUAGAUCUAUGGAACAACAUCAUGUAUUCAAAUAGAGAAAUUGAGUUUGUCGAACACUUGAAGCACUUUGAGACUGUUUGUAUUGAUAUUCCUUUAUUUGUGAAGUAUGUGAGUGAAACGUGGUUGACACCUUAUAAAGAAAGGUUUGUUGCUGCUUGGACUAACAGAGUCACUCAUUUAGGGAACACAACAAAGAAUGGGUAAAUGGACGUCAUUUUAAUGAUAUUACAUUAUUAAACAUAAUUUAACAUAUAUUUCUAUUUAUGGUUUUUAGGGUGAAGUCUACUCAUUGGAGACUAAAAAACAUGUUGACUACAAGCCAGAGAGAUUUAUGUCGGAGUUGGGAUGUUGUGAACACCAUGUUGAAGUUGCAAGUAGGUUCAAUCAAAGUCUCGUUUCAAAAAAGUAUUGUCAACAUUAAGCAUCGGUAUAAUACUCCAUUUUAUGCCAACUUGCAUGAUCUUGUUUCAAGACAGUGUACACAUCACAUUAGAAAGGAACUAGAAAGGGUAAAAUUUAUUGUAGGCCAAAAUGCAUGUGUUUGCUUCAUUAGAAUAACACAUGGGUUAUUGUGUGUUGCUUAACUUGCCAGAUUCUAAAUACAAGGCAAUUUUGAAAAUUUUCUGAUACAAGCAGACAUAUUUUGAAAAUACGGAUAUUUAAUGAAAGGUAUAAUGGUAAAACAACUCUAAAUGUGGGGGUAUCAUGUAUAACUAAGGGUGGUAGGUUAAAACCUCCAAAUUUAUGUUUUUAGUAAAAUAUAUUUUUUCACCAAUUUAUUUGGAGGCCAAAUAGCCCAAAAAAGUGAGGCCCGAUGCAAUGGUCUUGCUUUCCUUUUUUAUGAGCAUUUAACCUGCCGUCGCCACCCCCUACCCACCACCCAAUUUAAACCUGACACCCCCACAAACACAAUGAAUUGAAUAUAAUCCUUGCAAAUUUUUCAAACAUUUAUCAAAAUUUGCGCAAAUUUCAAAGACUCUAGAGCGAUACCAGAAAUUUCACAAUUCUACUAGAAAUCCAGAGCGAUACUGAAAACUUCACAACUCUACCACAAUAUUUACCAUAAAUUUCAAGAAGUCUGGUACAAUCCUUUAGAUUUUUACCGAAAAUUUCAGAAAUCCUGGUAUCUUUGCAUGCAUGUUUACUGGGAAUUGCAGAAUUUUCGAUAGUUCAAAAAAUUGGAAUUGUACCGAGAAUUUCAGAAUUUUUGAUAGUUAAAUUUAUAAAAUCAUACCGGAAAAUUCAAAAAAAUUGGUAGUUCUCUGUUUUUUGCAUUUUUCAUUUUGCCAUGAAGACUAGGAGGAAGGGACAACACCAUUGCAGGCAGGACCACAUAUAGAGUGGAUGCUCAGGCUAGGGCUAUUGAGGCACAAUCUUCCUAACUAUGGGUUGGACGAGUAGAUCCAACUGGUUCACACCAGAAACAGUUGGUUUAGCAUGUGCAUCUCUAUAUACCCCGUAGCACCCGACACCGAGUGGUGAGAUUAGACGAUCAGCCUAGAGAUGAUGUUGAGGUUGCUCAUGAUUAUAAGGUGUAGGGUAAGACUCUUAUUAACCCAUUUGAGGUGGUCGAGACAUAUGGGAUACUUGUUGUUGGUGAGGUGACCGAUAUAAAUAUCCAUAUUUCUGAUAAGGCGGUUGAGGUGGUUGAGGCAGAUGCCCAUAUUGCUGAUGAGGUGGCUACCACAGAUUCGGUCCCUAUUACCAAUGAGCCUACUGCUAUUGUUGAUACAAAGGUUAUGGCUCUUGCUUCAACAGAGCCAUCUGUGCAUACUGAUAGAGAGUUCCCAGGAGGACCCGAUGACUGAUCGGUGCUUACCGAGUAUGUUGACCAUGUGGCGUACUGAUUAUGGCAGCGAGAGGUAUAUAUAUUUUAUGUUUAACUUUAAUUUAAUUAUUAUUGUUCCAUGAUGUGUUGAAAUUUAACUUAUAACUUUUUAACUUUGUUUGUUAUAGGAUCGUCCCAUGCUGAAGGUGAUAUCCCACUGGUCAAAGAUGAAGAACUUCCCUAGGAGUCUGAUGCUUGAGCAGGCGAGGCAAAUUAUUGCUGACUUUGGUCUCCUAUCAUUUUCCGACUGCUCACUCGCCAUGCUUGACGUUUCACUUCGUACUUCUUUUGUUGAGCGAUGGCACAAGGAGGCAUCUUCCUUCCAUCUUCCAUUUGGGGAGAUGACUAUCACUUUGGAUGAUGUCUCCUCCUUGUUCAAUCUCCCCAUCGCUGGUAGAUUCUUCAUCGCUCCUGUUAUUACCUAGAAGCUUGCAUGUAUCGUGGCUACAUGGGAUUUGGGAGUUAUUGAAGCAUAAUUGCUAAAGGAGUUUGAUUUUAACAAGGGAACUCACCUUCAAAUGUCUUGGCUUCGGGGCAAGUACCAUGAGUUUACGAAGGCACUGAUGUAUGUGGUUGCAGAUAGGGUGUACAUGCUACAUCUAGUAGCAUGUACUCUCUUUGUGGAAAAGUCUCAUGUUUAUAUUGAUGCUCGGUACAUGUGAUUGUUCAUUAGCCUUGACGAUACCAAUUGGGAAUGGGGGUGCGCUGCAUUGACCAUCCUAUAUUCAGCACUUAGAGUUGUGAUUGUCUUUAAGACCAGACAGCUUGCUGGUUAUUUGAGUUUAUUCCAAGUAUACUAGAAAGUAUUAUUUGUAGUUUAGUUCUUAUUUAAUUGUUACAAAUAACAUUUCUUAAUUACUAUUUUUUGUGUAUGUGUUCUUUUAUCAAGGAUUGAUAUAUGAGAAUUUCUCCACCAUCUGUGACAGGAUGGUGGAGCAUACCCUUACGGGCGCCCCAUAGGCAAGGAGAUGGAAGGCUAGGAAAGCACAUCCAGGUGGCAUUACAGAGUACAAGAGGAGGCUUGAUGCGCUGACAAUAGAUGUUGUCAUUUGGACACCGUACAUAGCUCACAGAGUCCACCGUGAGUUUGAUGAGUCUUCUUUAUUUUCUGGUUAUAUGUGGUGGGAGACCUUAGUCGCUAGACACUUGCCUGAUAGGUGUCUACGCUAGUAUGGUUAUGUCCAUAGCAUUCCACUACUAGUUCUGGAUGUUCCAGCUUUGGCCAUUGACAGAUGGUUUUAGAGUAACAUCAUCAGCUCUGCUCGUGCCAUUCUAGAUAGCGCAGUGAGGGUUCGUCAUGAUUCACAGUGUGGGGAUGGUUACUUGGAGUGGUACCUCAUUGUACCACACCCUCGCAUCAUCCCACAAGUUGAGCAUACAGAUGAUGAUGAUGUGUCUUCUGAUGUUGCGGUACAUGUCGAUGACGUGUCGCCGCCGCCACCUCCACCUGAUGUCAAUGACCAGUAGCGCCUAUAGAUCGUCGUCGUUAUUAUGGAUAACUUCAUGGAUUUGGUAAACUCAUAUGGUGAUAUUUUUACCAGAUUAUCACGGGCAGCACACAUAGGUCGUGGGGGACAUAUUUAGUUCUUUGAUUUUUCAGUUAUAUUAUUUGUAUAUUUUGUUACUCAGACUACUUAGCAUCGUACCUUUUAUUACAUAAUAUUAUGUCGAUUACAUGUUUCAAAUAUGAACAUAACUUAAGACAUUACAACUAACAUAACUAAACAAUAAGGAAAUAUGAAAACCUAGACAUUAUCAUAUGAUUCUAGACGUUUCAGCAUCUUAAUUAUGUCGUUGACAGAUCUUAAAAUCUUCGCAUCUAAAUCGAUCGGCACCUUAGUUAACCUAUGGAGAAAUGAUCUCCACAUAACCGUCAAAUCUUCAUGGGUCUUUAACUCAACAAAGUUGCAUUUUAGUCUUCCAUCAGUAUCAAUCGAAUAUUCACGAAACUCGAUCUUUAUCACCUUUUUGUUAACGGUAUCAGGAAACAAUUCAUUCAACUUGGAUGUGAAGGUGGCGAGAGAUGCGGUGCCAUCGGGAAGCCGGAACUCUACAGGAGGUGCAGCUACAUUGAAAUACACUUAUGUCUUAAUCAAAAAUUGAGGAAGAGACAUUUUGAGAUGUUUUUCUCAACAAUAUAUGACCCUUAUUUAUAUAACUUUGAAUUCAUUCUGAACCAUACAAAACGGUUGGUGCAAUCACAACCUACAAAACUGUCUGUAAAAUCCUAACUGUUGGAAAUCUUCUAAAAUUGAACUAUCGAAAAUUUCACAUUGGUUGAAAUUUAUGGUAUAACAUGGUAUUUUUUUAAAAUACCGGUAAUAUUUCAAGCGUACCAGAAAUGUUUGAAAAUUCCAGUAUUUGUUCAUAUUGAAAAUUAUGAAUACACUACCAGGAACUUUGAUUGUACCGGAAAUUUUAUACGCACAUUUCAAUCCAAUUUUGAGCAUGAGCACUUUUAGAAUUAUCAAAUAAAGUGGGGUGUCAGGUAUAAAAGAGGGGUUGGUAGGUUAAAUCCUCCUUUUUUACAUGUUUUGUGCAACAACUUUUCACAAUCGUCAGAUUGAGGUGUCACAAAUAAUAAUUGUAAAUCAGCCACACUUGUUUGAUUUUUUGGUGACGAGAAUUGAUUAUGAGUGAAUUAACUUUGUAGAAUUGAUUUAGGUUAAAAGUGAUUUAGAUGUAAUAUGAAUAUGAUUUAUGUUUAGGUAUACAUUAAUGUAAAGUGAGUUGAAUAACAAAUUUUAAUAUAACAAUUAUGUUUAAACUCAAAAACAACAUAUUCUAUUUUAGUAGGACCAAGCAUCUCAAAAUCAUUCUAAAAUUAAUUUUAAACCUUUAAAAUUGUUUUUACCUCUUUUUAAAACUAAAUCAAACCAUACGAAUUUAUUCUUGAUCCUUGUGCACAUUGUCCACCAAAUAUAAUAUAUAUAUAAAUAUAUAUAUAAAUUUAGUAUAAAAUAAUUUAAUUUAAUUUUGAAUGAAUAUUUAAAAUAAUAAUAACAAUAUACUUUAUGUAAUUCCAUCCAAUAUUGUAAACAUAGUUUUCUAAUUCAUUAUAUUUAUGGGGUCUUGUGAUUUUCAUUUUAGAAAAGCAAACCACACUCAUGGUUAGUUGUGAUACAUUAUUAGUUAAUAAAUCUAAUAAAAAUUAUAUUUAUAAUUGUAUUGACCUCGGUCGUUAGCAAAGCUCAAUGAUACAGCGGAAGCAGUCAAGUGCAUGAAAUACUUGCACCUUUCUUUUUGAAGAUAGGUUAUUCUGCCACAAGACUCUUACUGGUCAUCAAGAUCCAUUUCUCGGCUGACGCGAUCUAUGCCUCACUUUCCGUUUUCACUUGUCAAUUUUCUAUUAUUUAAGAGGGGAAGCAUCACAUUUCUCAAGUAUUCAAAUUCAUUCUCACUUUUCACUAUCUUACUAACUGUAACGUUGGAAUGCUAUCUGCAACAAGUUAUGUUUCCUCAAUCAUCGAUCGAUUAUGGUUCCACGAUGGAACAUAUGCGUCUUCAGUAUGAACAAAAAUCUGAUUCAUGCACAUUUCCAUGUUCAUAUAUCCUUAAUCAAUUUCAUAUCUCCUCUACUAGAUAUUCUGAUCUUCUAUGUUAGAGAUGCGAACCUCCAUUUAUUGAUCAAUUUUCUAUAAUCAUAACUUCUUAUCUAUUAGAUCCUUUCUUAGAUUCAUCCAUUAUGGUGGCAUCCAAAGCCACCUGAUCCUCUGUUCAAUGACAAGUUGUUAUCGCCACCGUUGAAGUUGCCAGAGACUCGCUUCCUCUUCCUCUAGUAGUGGAUAAUCCAGUUUUUGUAGCAUCUUCGUUUGAUCCUUCACAGCAAGAUCUUAUUCAACCUAAAAUGCAAAAAUUUCACCUAUGAGAGCCUCUGCGUAAACCUUCACUACUACUUGUGAUUCCUGGACAAGAAACGCUCUCUGACCUUGACUGUUACAAGCUAUCCUCGGAAUGCAUGGAGCCACUGGUCUGUUAAAUGCCGUCUAUAAUAUGGUGCAACAUGGGAAUUCGUAAGUCUUGGCCAAAAGGCUUUUUAGGAUUGAACAGACCUUGUUGUAUGUUAAUCCAAAACCCAAACACCCCCCCCCCCAAUUAUGGGUUAAUAAGUCUUGGCCAAAAGGCUUUUUAGGAUUGAACAGACCUUGUUGUAUGUUAAUCCAAAACCCAAACACCCCCCCCCCCAAUUAUGGGUUAGCCUCCAUUAUAGCACCUACACUACAAAGAUAAUUUCCAAAGUCACCAAGUCGCACCCAUCACCGAAGACAUCAUACUCAUUCCUCAGUCGUGAAGGGAGAAGUGGUAGACACACUCCCCCAAAGAUUUGUCACCCUCGAAGGAGGGGAAAUAUAGAAAAUAUGUUCCAACUCUGGACCAUAAAAGAAACCUAAUAUCUGCUUGCAUCCUUAAUAGCAUAAUCUCGGGGUUGUUGGAAAAUCCUCACAAGCUUCAAAGUCAUGAUGGGACCGAGGAUUAAGACAAACAUGUUAAGCACGUGGAAGCUAAAUUGGACUACUACCACACACGUUGGGUUGUAAAGUGAAAGAUAUUUUCAUUAACUUUGACUAGAUCAACAAUGGCUUAGUUUAAAUCCUUUCCCAACGGGAGCAUGGACUCCUGGAAAUAUUUUUGCAAAGCUUUCACCGCCCAGAAAAGGAAACUAACAAAAAUGGUUGUGCUCACUGGGAUAACUCAAGGGAAAAAGGAAAUUUGCAUGGAUGCAUUAAGCAUUUCACCAAAGUAGUAGUGGUUUGAGCGAUACAGAUAACAUAUUGAAGUGUUAAGUUUUCAAAGCGGAUUGAGGUCGGAUUGCAUGUUCCAGGAUAAGCUGGGACUCAAGGAAGCCCAUGGUUUGAAAUAUUUAUUGAGUAUGCAGCCUAACAUUAAUUAUGAGGAAAAUAUAUUGUCCAUAGGAAUAUAUCGAGGAUUGGGGAACGUCGGACUGAGCCAGCCACCAGAGAAAGAUGCUUGUUAGAUAAUAGAAGAAGGUGGGGAUGAAAAAUGAGAAGUUGUGGACCUAUGAAGAGUUACUUAUCGAUACCAGCAGCUCCUAUGACAUCAAGUACUCAAACCUUUUGGAGAAGAUGGGGAUGAAAAAUGAGAAUUUGUGGACCUAUGAAGAGUUACUUUGCAUCCAUAGUUAUGUAAAUUAAGAAAUUAAAAAAAAAAGAUAAAUGUAACAAAUGAGUGUGCAAUAAGAGAAUGUAAGAAGAUUAUGCAAAAAGAUGGUGCAACAACGCUAAUAAAGAAAAUAUGAAGAUGAUUUUUUUUUGUAA
rnacentral:lncRNA from 1 species